rnacentral:rRNA from 1 species
ACGCAGUAGGAUAGGCGAAGCGUGCGAUUGGAUUGCACGUCUAAGCAGUAAGGCUGAGUAUUAGGCAAAUCCGGUACUCAUUAAGGCUGAGCUGUGAUGGGGAGAAGACAUUGUGUCUUCGAGUCGUUGAUUUCACACUGCCGAGAAAAGCCUCUAGAUAGAAAAUAGGUGCCCGUACCGCAAACCGACACAGGUAGUCAAGAUGAGAAUUCUAAGGUGAGCGAGCGAACUCUCGUUAAGGAACUCGGCAAAAUGACCCCGUAACUUCGGGAGAAGGGGUGCUCUUUAGGGUUAACGCCCAGAAGAGCCGCAGUGAAUAGGCCCAAGCGACUGUUUAUCAAAAACACAGGUCUCUGCUAAACCGUAAGGUGAUGUAUAGGGGCUGACGCCUGCCCGGUGCUGGAAGGUUAAGAGGAGUGGUUAGCUUCUGCGAAGCUACGAAUCGAAGCCCCAGUAAACGGCGGCCGUAACUAUAACGGUCCUAAGGUAGCGAAAUUCCUUGUCGGGUAAGUUCCGACCCGCACGAAAGGCGUAACGAUUUGGGCACUGUCUCAACGAGAGACUCGGUGAAAUCAUAGUACCUGUGAAGAUGCAGGUUACCCGCGACAGGACGGAAAGACCCCGUGGAGCUUUACUGUAGCCUGAUAUUGAAAUUCGGCACAGCUUGUACAGGAUAGGUAGGAGCCUUUGAAACGUGAGCGCUAGCUUACGUGGAGGCGCUGGUGGGAUACUACCCUAGCUGUGUUGGCUUUCUAACCCGCACCACUUAUCGUGGUGGGAGACAGUGUCAGGCGGGCAGUUUGACUGGGGCGGUCGCCUCCUAAAAGGUAACGGAGGCGCUCAAAGGUUCCCUCAGAAUGGUUGGAAAUCAUUCAUAGAGUGUAAAGGCAUAAGGGAGCUUGACUGCGAGACCUACAAGUCGAGCAGGGUCGAAAGACGGACUUAGUGAUCCGGUGGUUCCGCAUGGAAGGGCCAUCGCUCAACGGAUAAAAGCUACCCCGGGGAUAACAGGCUUAUCUCCCCCAAGAGUUCACAUCGACGGGGAGGUUUGGCACCUCGAUGUCGGCUCAUCGCAUCCUGGGGCUGUAGUCGGUCCCAAGGGUUGGGCUGUUCGCCCAUUAAAGCGGUACGCGAGCUGGGUUCAGAACGUCGUGAGACAGUUCGGUCCCUAUCCGUCGUGGGCGUAGGAAAUUUGAGAGGAGCUGUCCUUAGUACGAGAGGACCGGGAUGGACAUACCUCUGGUGUACCAGUUGUCGUGCCAACGGCAUAGCUGGGUAGCUAUGUGUGGACGGGAUAAGUGCUGAAAGCAUCUAAGCAUGAAGCCCCCCUCAAGAUGAGAUUUCCCAACUUCGGUUAU